UCUUUUUCUUCUUCUUUUUCUGUGUUUAGGGUUUCUCAUGUUUAUCCUCUGUCCAUGAUAGAUGCUUGCAUCUGAGAAGAUUGCCUAAAACCGAGUUGAUUGAAGGUUGUAAACUUCAUAUCUAGGGUUUACCCUCUUUCCAAAUCAAACGAUCAACUCCGAGGUUUGAAUCUGCAAAAUCGAAGCUUGAUUUAAGCAACAAUCUCGAAGACAUGCAAUUGGGUUUAACAAGUUCAUCACCAUCAUGCCUUGGAUUUCCUCAAAUUAAGUGCACCAUUUUUGUUCUAAUUGAGGUCUGAGAGUAACUGCACCAAAGCC